UACGGAGGGGCUAGCGUUGUUCGGAAUUACUGGGCGUAAAGCGCACGUAGGCGGCUUUGUAAGUUAGAGGUGAAAGCCCGGGGCUCAACUCCGGAAUUGCCUUUAAGACUGCAUCGCUAGAAUUGUGGAGAGGUAAGUGGAAUUCCGAGUGUAGAGGUGAAAUUCGUAGAUAUUCGGAAGAACACCAGUGGCGAAGGCGGGUCUCUGGGCCGAAAUUGACGCUGAGGAGCGAAAGCGUGGGGAGCAAACAGG
rnacentral:rRNA from 1 species